rnacentral:rRNA from 1 species
GACGAACGCUGGCGGCGUGCUUAACACAUGCAAGUCGAGCGGUAAGGCCCUUUCGGGGGUACACGAGCGGCGAACGGGUGAGUAACACGUGGGUGACCUGCCCUCAGCUCUGGGAUAAGCCUGGGAAACCGGGUCUAAUACUGGAUAUGACUCCAUGACGCAUGUUGUGGGGUGGAAAGCCUUGUGCGGCUGAGGAUGGGCCCGCGGCCUAUCAGCUUGUUGGUGGGGUGANGGCCUACCAAGGCGACGACGGGUAGCCGGCCUGAGAGGGCGACCGGCCACACUGGGGACUGAGACACGGCCCAGACUCCUACGGGAGGCAGCAGUGGGGAAUCUUGCGCAAUGGGCGAAAGCCUGACGCAGCGACGCCGCGUGAGGGAUGAC